rnacentral:rRNA from 1 species
AGUGAACGCUGGCGGUAGGCCUAACACAUGCCAGUCGAACGGCAGCACAGUAAGAGCUUGCUCUUACGGGUGGCGAGUGGCGGACGGGUGAGGAAUACAUCGGAAUCUACUUUUUCGUGGGGGAUAACGUAGGGAAACUUACGCUAAUACCGCAUACGACCUACGGGUGAAAGCAGGGGAUCUUCGGACCUUGCGCGAUUGAAUGAGCCGAUGUCGGAUUAGCUAGUUGGCGGGGUAAAGGCCCACCAAGGCGACGAUCCGUAGCUGGUCUGAGAGGAUGAUCAGCCACACUGGAACUGAGACACGGUCCAGACUCCUACGGGAGGCAGCAGGGGGGAAUAUUGGACAAUGGGCGCAAGCCUGAUCCAGCCAUACCGCGUGGGUGAAGAAGGCCUUCGGGUUGUAAAGCCCUUUUGUUGGGAAAGAAAAGCAGCAGGUUAAUACCCCGCUGUUCUGACGGUACCCAAAGAAUAAGCACCGGCUAACUUCGUG